AGCGAUCUUCUUCGGAAGAGAGCGGCGGACGGGUGAGUAACGCGUGGAUAACCUGCCUCACACAGGGGGACAACAGCCGGAAACGGCUGCUAAUACCGCAUAACACAAGCAAUUCGCAUGAAUAGCUUGUCAAAGAUUUUAUCGGUGUGAGAUGGAUCCGCGUCUGAUUAGCCAGUUGGCGGGGUAACGGCCCACCAAAGCGACGAUCAGUAGCCGACCUGAGAGGGUGACCGGCCACAUUGGGACUGAGACACGGCCCAAACUCC
rnacentral:rRNA from 1 species